GCAGCCCGUCAGCCUCAGCAGGACCCUGAAAAUUGGGGACAGAAAUCCAGUAUGGAAAAUUCUGACAGCUGUCAGGAAGGAGGUUAUUGAAUUCAUUGGAGAAUGAGUGCUGUCCUAAAUUUGGUGAGAGAGAGAGAGAGACAGCGUG